UGAUGUCAGUUUGACAUGUUGGCUACGAGUCUAGAGAAGGCAAAGGAAGAGUUUUUUGCACCUGAGUAUGCUAUUGAUGAGAACACUAAACAAAGACAACGUCAUCAGUUAGGUCUCUAAAUAUGCUGAGGUCUCCAAGCUGAAAUUAAAAAAAUCUCCCAGAAGACAAUAUCAGUAGAUUGUGGAAAGUGAUAAAAUCUAGAAAAAUAAACUUAUGGAACAUUUUUUCUUCAGAGAGUAGAAAUUACUGUUUGGUGUAUAGUUUGUUGGUGUAACUGAUCCACUGCACCAUAGAAGAAAAAAAAAACACCUCACACCCACAGCUCACUUCUGUAUUCCUGCCAUUUUUAAAGUUUAAAAGUUUCCAGUGGACUAUAGGGUUUAGAAAUGGUAUGUUCCAAUGUAAUUUAUUAAUAUAUGGCUAAAUCGAUGCUUGAUGCCCUUAUAGAUUACUUCAAAAUCAUAAAAAGAGCCUUGACAGGAAUAGCAGAGUACUACAAUUUAAUUAAACUCCGUAUCCUCCCCCCCUGUGCAGCAGCCUGAUUAAGGUUGCAGUCAAAUAAAACAGCAUUUAAUUGGCAUACACCACAAAAGCUGUUUGCAUGUUUAUUUAACAUUGUGGCAUAUUAAUAAAAAUUUAGAGCCCUAAUUGGGUAAACUUGUGCAGGCAAGAAGUGAGGUUCCUGGCGCCACAAUGCCCCAAACAAACCCCCCCCACGUCACUGUUUAAUGGACUAUGACUGAAAAACGAUCCCUGGCUAGUUUAAUAUUUCUGCAGUCAUACUUGAUGAAAAUCCCUGCUCUCAUUGGCUAAGAGCCACACAUUAAAAAGCUAUCAUAGCUACCUGUACCUGCUGGUGAGAAUCCCCAGCGGAGCAAACCACUUGGACGGGCCUGGUGGAGCGCAGCAUUCCGGCAUGGGGAGGAUCAUUAGCAUCUCACGUAUCUUGAGUGUGGCGUUCCACUAGCCCAUCCCCAGCCGGCCUCCUCUUGUGGGCCCUCGCCAUCCUCACUUGGCAUGGCACCAGAGACAGCUGGAGAGCUUGGCCUCCCCUUCCGUCCUCACCACUCCUCCCUCUCCCUGCUUUUUCUCUACUCCUGUCAGUUUAGCAUGCUGGGCACUGAAUGAGUGUCCCUUUGAUCAGCUACCAAACAGGCAGAGCACAGCACAGCAGAGGCCCUGAGCAAUCAGCCCCUCACUGUUACUGAGUGAGAGGAGAAGAAGCCAGGGGUCUGAGCAGCAGGCCCAGAGAAAACAAUGCCAAGACUACAAGUUUUUACCCCAUGCCAGCACUACAUGAGAGUUUAAUACAAGUCUCAUAUGUACAGUAUAAGCACACACACACACACGCACACACACACUCUCUCUCUCUCUCUCUCUCUCUCUCUUGCUUUCUCUAAUGCUAGUUGGGUUACAAACUGUUACAAGCUAUUGAUGUUUAUGACCAGUAGCAAAAACUAUCUAUAGUCAUAAUCUAUAGUAGCUAAACUAUCUAUAGUCAUAACUACUUUUCAAAUUUACAGUAAUUAUGAUAAUUAUUUACAAUUAGUUUUCCUGCAAUGAGUAAAAUAUUUGAGAUGACAGACACCAGAUAUCAGUUUCGAUGAUAUUAAAAAAAAAAAAAACAUUUCUGCAGGGUUUCAAAAUACUUUUUAA